rnacentral:lncRNA from 1 species
CCUGUUACCGGGAGGCCGGGGCUGGGAACUCGGACUGUUUCCUCGACGGAGAGUGUAAGGGACGAAGAGAGCAGAGCCACGAGAAGAGAGAACGAGGCAAGAGGAAGAGAAGAGCGAUGCCGGUCGGAGAGGGGUGGUCGAUGUCGCGCGCGGGGGAGAGACUCGGACCGGGGCGAGAGAAACGUUGCAACCCAAGGCCGACGAGCCGUCUGAAGGCCAUGAAGACUCUGACUACACAGUUCCACGAAGUAGCCGUCUCUCUUCUGUUGCGUGGCCUUUGUGUGUGCUCCGUCGGGGACACUCGGGCACCGCCUGUAGCCUCCGACUGGCAGCCGGUUGAGAAGCCCGCUCUCGCAGAGCAACCCGGAGCGACAAAGACCACCUUCGCCGACUCCAGGACAGAGAAGAGCGAACAGCCGACCAGAGCUUUUCCCAGGCAGGCGGUCAGGACUUGACGUUUUUCUUCCUCGGAGUCGGACGCACAGUUUCGAGCACCUUGCAUGUUUGUGCGCUUCCCUGGUGGUGUCAGUGCUCUGCCGGCGACUCCGGGAGAGACGGAGGAGGCGAAUGGAGGCAAUUCCCGUCUCGAACGGGAUGCGGCGGUAUCCUAGCGACGCCGAGCUGCUUCUUCCUGUGCUCGAAAAACCCAAGCGCAUGCGGACCGCACACUUCUGCAUUACAGCGGCUCGAGCAUCCGUUUCCGAGACCUUGCUGCAUUGCCUCGGGGUCCGCCUUCUCCGAACGCCCCUCAAAGCCCUUUCCAUUUCGCUGCUGCAAUCGCCAGCUUCCCUCGCCAGGGCCCUCUCUGUUAGUGUUCUUCCGAGCGAGGACAUCCCCACAGAGCGUGACGACGAACGCAACUGACUGGCGGAGGUGUGCAGUCGCUUCACGGCAGCCUUUUUGCAGGAGACGAAAGAAAAACAGUCAACCCGUCGAGAAUCGCACUCACCAAACUCUUUGCCUUCUUCGCCUGCGCCUGCCGAUCCCUUUUCACCCGUCAUUACCGCUUCAGCACCUGGUUCCCCUUCAUCUUCUGCUUCCUCUCCACCUUCUGGUUCCUCAUCUUUCGUUCCAUGCCCGUGUUCCACUUCACUUCAUCUCCCGUGCCGAGGGUUGAAGAGAUGCAAUGUCGACAUGCAUCAACAUAGCGGCGGCCAUCUUUCCACUGGCUUUCGAAAACGUGGAGAGCAGGCUUUAGCUCUGUUCUGCAAGUGGUGCAUAAAACCCCACAGCCGAGAACAUGUUCCUUCUCUCCAUGUGAAGAAUUUGCGUCUGAAUCCGUGGACUACCUCUACUUGCUUUGCUUCCAUCGCCUCACACUUAGCCUCCAAACAAAUAUACAUAUAUAUACAUACUGAUACAACAAACAGAUAUUUCCAUGUGCAUGCACCCUCAAUCUGUCAGUGCGCCCUAGAAUAGCAGUCCCAGCGCGGAUGUUUAGAUAUCUAGGUUUCUACGUGUCUCCCUUGUAUAGUAGAUGGCGAGUUAUCCAAG